rnacentral:rRNA from 1 species
AUUGAACGCUGGCGGCAUGCCUUACACAUGCAUGUCGAACGGCAGCACGGGGGCAACCCUGGUGGCGAGUGGCGAACGGGUGAGUAAUGCAUCGGAACGUGCCCAGUAGUGGGGGAUAACCCGGCGAAAGCCGGGCUAAUACCGCAUACGACCUAUGGGUGAAAGCGGGGGACCGUAAGGCCUCGCGCUAUUGGAGCGGCCGAUGUCUGAUUAGCGAGUUGGCGGGGUAAAGGCCCACCAAGGCGACGAUCAGUAGCUGGUCUGGGAGGACGACCAGCCAGACUGGGAAUGAGACACGGCCCAGACUCCGACGGGAGGCAGCAGUGGGGAAUUUUGGACAGUGGGCGCAAGCCUGAGCCGGCCAUGCCGCGUGCGGGAAGAAGGCCUUCGGGUUGUAAACCGCUUUUGGCAGGAACGAAACGGCGCGGGUGAAUAUCCCGCGCUAAUGACGGUACCUGCAGAAUAAGCACCGGCUAACUACGUGCCAGCCGCCGCCGUAAGAC